rnacentral:rRNA from 1 species
CGGUGUUCAACUGGCGUGUCCGCGGGACGUCCUGCCGGUGGGCUUAGCCCGCAAGGGCGGCCCAACUUCAAAUCCCAUCGCGGUGCUCUUCACUGAGUGUCGAGGUGGGCCGGCACGUUUACUUUGAACAAAUUAGAGUGCUUAAAGCAGGCUAAAACUUCGCCUGAAUACUGUGUGCAUGGAAUAAUGGAAUAGGACCUCGGUUCUAUUUUGUUGGUUUUCGGAACCCCGAGGUAAUGAUUAAUAGGAACGGAUGGGGGCAUUCGUAUUGCGACGUUAGAGGUGAAAUUCUUGGAUCGUCGCAAGACGGACAGAAGCGAAAGCAUUUGCCAAAAACGCUUUCAUUGAUCAAGAACGAAAGUUAGAGGUUCGAAGGCGAUCAGAUACCGCCCUAGUUCUAACCAUAAACGAUGCCAGCUAGCGAUCCGUCGACGUUCCUCCGAUGACUCGACGGGCAGCUUCCGGGAAACCAAAGCUUUUGGGUUCCGGGGGAAGUAUGGUUGCAAAGCUGAAACUUAAAGGAAUUGACGGAAGGGCACCACCAGGAGUGGAGCCUGCGGCUUAAUUUGACUCAACACGGGAAACCUCACCAGGCCCGGACACCGGAAGGAUUGACAGAUUGAGAGCUCUUUCUUGAUUCGGUGGGUGGGUGGUGCGUGGCCGUUCUUAGUUGGUGGAGCGAUUUGUCUGGUUAAUUCCGAUAACGAACGAGACUCUAGCCUGCUAACUAGGCGUAUUUUCGACAUCUCAAAGGUCCGUCGUCCCGGCCCUCGGGUCGUGGGCGUGCGCGAUUUUUACUGUCGGCGUACUAUCAGUUCUUCUUAGAGGGACAGGUGGCUUCUAGCCGCACGAGAUUGAGCAAUAACAGGUCUGUGAUG